UUAGUGAUUUAAUAUCGAAAUCUACAAUUGAAUAUACAAUAUAUUAUAUUUAAAUGUUCGCGCGAUUGAAAUGAAUAAAAAAUUGCAUUCCAGCCAAUCAAAAAGCUACUAAGAUCUAGCUGUAAGACGAGUCAAUGCGCACAAUAUAUUGCGCAUAUUAUUAUCAGUUUACAAAAAUCGUGGUAAGAGAAUACAUUUUCAGUGACAAAAGUAUACAAUUAUAUAAAAUUUAUAUUAUUAAUAGGAUAUUGUGUUAUGUGUAUUAAGUUUAAUUAUAAUUUAUUAAGAUUAUUAAACUUUAUUUAAUCAAUAUACGUUUGUUUAAUUAUUAUUAUGGCAGAAUUGAACAUUUUUAUGACAGAUUAUCGUGUGAUUGGAGAUUUGAAAGCGGAAUGAAUUUUAAAAGUAUAAAUUUUGCACAUACAAUGAUAAUUAAGAGAUAAUCCAACAACAUUCGUGCAGAUAUGGUUGCAAUAAAUUUCUUCAUACAGUAUACAAUAGAAGAUAUUUCAGCAUAAAAAUGAAACGUAUUUGAGAAUUCAAGAAACUAAGUAUAUAAUUCUUGCAAAGAGAUCUAUAGAUCUGACAGAGAGAAUUUCCGGAUGAUUGAUCAAUGGUACCAUGUUACAGAACUAUAUACGAAUAAUUGAAAUUUCAUUCAAGAAGUUUUCUUCUCUAGAAGUUACACCUUACUGACAUUUAUCUUGUUUUCGUGUCUUGAUAAAUUGGAAUUUGCUUAUUCAAAUUGCCAAUGUUCAACAGAUUCUCUAGAGAGCAACAAUUUCUACAAUUCAUUUCAAUUUUCAAUUUUUUCUUAUCCAUAUUACAUGAAGGAGAGCAAGUUUCACCAAGAGGAUCCUGUUAGAGGUAGAGGCGCCUUUUCCAUUCUAUUUCCUGCCACGAAGGUUAAAGAGAAUUGGAUAGAAAGCGACAGUACAAGAAGGUGUAGCAUUAAAUGCCUCAGCCUCUAAGAGCAACGGUAAUUCUUGGCGGGGGGUAGGAGUUCAGCUGCUCGUUUCACCCAGCCAUCAACCUUGUCCACCGCAUCGGCCAAAUAUGUACUCUCCACCUUGCCCUAGCCUUGUCCACAGAAGUUCUCAAAGCCUUCUCUCGAAAGGAAUAAAACGAACUGAUUGGACGACGCUUAUUCAAUUAAGGAUUCCAGCUUAGAAUUUGUUCUUACGAUUUAUUUUUAGGAUUGAUCUCCUUGCAACUGGACAGUCAGUUGGCUUGUCAACUGGAGAGGAAUGUGAAGUUAAUCACACUUUGAAUGAUAAUUUCAUAGAGAGAAUCCAAAUUAUUAUGUUUUCAAUUAUUUUAUAUUAUAAGAAAUAAUUGUAGAAUAUAUAGAUUAUUCCCAAAAAUAUGGGAAUAUUAACUUAAAUGGAGAUUCUUGAAAUAAUUUCAAGCAACUUUUUUUUUGAAAAAUCUU